rnacentral:rRNA from 1 species
CCUACGGGAGGCAGCAGUGGGGAAUUUUGGUCAAUGGGCGCGAGCCUGAACCAGCCAAGUCGCGUGUCUGAUGACUGCCCUACGGUUUGUAAACUUCUUUUAUAAAGGAGUAAAGUGAGGCACGUGUGCCUAUUUGUGUGUACUUUAUGUAUAAGGUUCGGCUAACCCAGUGACAGCCGCCGCGGUAAUACGGAGGAUACGAGCGUUACCCGGAUUUUUUGGGUGUAAAGGGAGCGUAGACGGCAAUGCAAGUAUGGAGUGAAAGGCGGGGGCUCAACCCGCGAACUGCGCUGGAAACUGGACGGCUAGAGUGCAGGAGAGGUAAGUAGAAUUCCAAGUGUAGCGGUGAAAUGCGUAGAGAUGAGGAGGAAUACCAAUGGCGAAGGCAGCUUACUGGACUGAAACUGACGUUGAGGCUCGAAAGCGUGGGUAGCAAACAGGAUUAGAUACCCCUGUAGUC